GAAUUUUAUAUUUUAUGAAAAUUUAAGAUUUUUUUAUAGAAUAUUUUAUUGGGAGGAUAUUUAAAUUUAAUAAACUUUAAAAAUAAAAUUACAUUAGUUUAUGAUUUUUUUGUUGAAGGAGAAUAUUUAAUUAAGAAUUAAUUACCUUAGGGAUAACAGCAUAAUAUACUUUUGUAGUUCAUAUAUAAAAGAAUGGUUAU
rnacentral:rRNA from 1 species